UUGUUGUUUGCUGUUUUGCAGUACUGGAGAUUGAGCCUAUGGCCAUGUGCAUGCUGCCCAAGCUCUCAGCCACUGAGCACGUUCUCAGCCCUCUUGUGAUGUUAUGUGAUGUUAUUUUGAGGCGGGGUCUCAGUUGCCCAGACUGGCCGGUAACCCCUCUGUAGCUCUGGCAGCCUUUCAGCUUCUGAUCCUCUGGCUUCUGUCUUUGGAGAAGCUGGGAUGUGAGACCUGCCCCACCAGGCUGGGCUUCUGGGACUUUAUUUGAUAAAAGGGAGCAACAGAUGCAAAGGCCCCGUGGUUGGAGCAUCCUGAGGGAGAACUAAGGAGACGCCAGCCAAGAAGGGGAUUCACAGGCCUGGGACUGAAGGUGCAGGAUUUAAACCGAGGGACGAUAUACAAGCAGCCGUGUCCACUGAUAAAGAAGAGUCAAGCAUGCCCCGAAAUGUUUCAGCCUGAACAACUAUAAACCCUCUAGUUCGUGUCGGUGGAAAAAGAGAAGUGGUCCAAAGUCGGAACCACAGGGCACCCUGCGCCUUGGGCCACUGAACUUGGAGACACCAGUGGGAAAGAUCGAAAGGGCACCGGUGACGGGUGUGAGAGCAGAAACACGGUGACUCGCCAGGGCACUUCCCAGAGGAGGGACAGCAGUGUCUAAGCUGGAUGAGGACUCCCAGGGGUCGCUGCAUUUGGCGUAGGCGGUGGGGAGGGUACACGCCCUGGGGGCCAUGUCCUGAGCCUAGACCAAGCUCAGAAGGAGCGGAGAUGAGCCAGAGGCUUCUAAUAGUGCGUCCUGCCUGACUGCCGGAGAAUAAUCAUCCUUUACGUCCCGAGUAAUGAGCCCGCAGCUCGGCAAGAGUCAGAGUCACCAAAGAACACAAAUUGCAUUCGGUGGGAUUUCAGAUGUGACAGCUGCUUUGUGCUUGGCAUGGCAGACCAAGGACUGGAUGUGAUCAGAGGCCAGCAGAGGACACCCCAGCCACAAGGUGAGGGGAGAGACCAGCAGAGGACACCCCGGCCGCAAGAAAGCAAACAUAUGUAAAGCUUUGCCCAAGAGGAAGAAAAGCUGAGUGUGACUGUUAUACUCCGGAUUAAAACUUCCCUGUCAGACUCCAGACCUCCGGGCGUCCACUGAGAGGCACCAGCUGAGACUCUGAUGGACUGGAAACAGAGGCAAGAGAGAAAAGGGCAAUGUCACAGUUGUGCCGUCCGCAUGGAUGGCCACUGUUUCCAUGUCCUGCUGGGGGAAGCGGGUGGCAGAGCCAAGUGCCUCUCACAGGCCUCUAGUGGCACCACACACACACAUGGAGCUGGCCCGUGGACUGACUCAGCACCUCAAAACAAGCAAAGGUUCACUGCUGCAUUUAAUCUCACUGCAACCCGGGGGCACGGUACUAUUUUUAAAAUAAAACACAUUAUUGUAAUUAGCCCACAAACAAAACGAUCACAAAGCUGCUUUAAGGACGUGAGGUGAUGUGAAUGAGAUGUCCUUCAUAGUCUCCCGUGGACACUUCGACCCUGGUCCCCAGUUGCUGUUUGGGGAGCCUAGGGAGGUGCGGCCUUGCGGGAGGUGGUGUGUCACUGGAGGUGGGCUUUGUUCUCUCUGCUUGCCGAUCCAGCUGUGACCCUCAGCUUUCUGUGCCAGUUGUGAUGCCUGCGCUCCACCAUCAUGGACUCUAACUCUUUCUACUCUAAGCUGCCCUGGUCAUGAGGUUUCAUCAGAGCAAUAGAAAGCUGCCUAAUUCAGGAGCCAUUCAGACACCUGCCCCGCCCCAAUCUAUACAUCUCAGUGGACUUCUAUACGGUGAGAAUGGCCAUUCCAAAGCAAUAAAGCGACACUUGAGGUUUAAACUUUCACUCUCAAUUACGUUAUUAUUCACUUAUCCACCACAAAAAGAUAGAGAAUGAAAGAAACCAUGAUAGAGUUGAAGCUUGAAAAAAAAAAUCCUUUAUAUUCUUUAUAUACUAUUUUAAUCACCAUUGUAUCUGUGAGCAAUCAGGUUUACAGAGAUCAAGUAAUAUGAAAGAAAUUUAAAAUACUAAAUAAGGGGGUGGCAAGAUAAAGAUGCUUGUUGUUUAAGCCUGAUGACCUAGGUUGGAGUUCUGAAACUCCUGUAAAGGUAGGAGAUAACCAAAUCUACAACGUUCCCUGGCCACACAUGUAUCGUGGCAAAUGUGCUCCCCCAUACACCA